rnacentral:rRNA from 1 species
UGGAUUACUGGCGAACGGGAUGAGUACACGAUGGGCAUCUGCCCUGCACUCUGGGACAGCCCUGGAACGGGGUCUAAUACCGGAUAUGACCGUCCAUCGCAUGAUGGAUGGUGUCAAGCUCCGGCGGUGCAUGAUGAGCCCGCGGCCUAUCAACUAGUUGGUGAGGUAGUGGCUCACCAAGGCGACCACGGGUAGCCGGCCUGAGAGGGCGACCGGCCACACUGGGACUGAGACACGGCCCAGACUCCUACGGGAGGCAGCAGUGGGGAAUAUUGCACAAUGGGCGAAAGCCUGAUGCAUCGACGCCUCGUGAGGGAUGACAGCCUUCGGGUUGUAAACCUCUUUCAUCAGGCAAGAAGCGAAAGUGACUGUACCUGCAGAAGAAGCGCCGGCUACCUACGUGCCAACAGCCGCGGUAAUACUUAGGGCGCAAGCGUUGUCCGGAAUUAUUGGGCGUAAAGAGCUCGUAAGCUGCUUG